AUUUACUCGCUGCCUCUGUUGCAGCAGCAUAUAUACUCGGUGGAUUCUCAUCCCAUCCUGACAUCCUCUCAGGUCUCCACUCUCUCUAUCACCUUGAUGCCCGACGCUUCCAAGAUCUCCAGCGCUUCACAGCCGCAAACACACAUGUGCAGGAUGUCUCUGUGUGAUGUGUUGUGAUUGGAGUGCAGUAGUACCAGGGCUCCUAUCGCUGCCGGUACCCCGACGGUGAGGGCCAUGGCGGUGGUCGACCUGCCGUUCUCAGUCUUUCCGAACUCCAUCAGCGUCGCUUGGUGCUUCUCGGUGGGUCGCCCAUCGGGGUACUCCACCUCGACUUCAUGGUGCAGCAGUACCAUAUCCUGAAUUGUGGAAGCAAAGCAAACAUUUAGUGCAUCAUGGUCCAAGUAAGCCUUUCUCUUCUAAUUUGUUCUGCAAGCUUGAUGAAAGUGGCUUAUGAUUGAGAUGUGGCGUUGGAAAGCAAGUGAGAUGUAGAAGUACAGGUUGGUGCAUUGAAGUCUGGUGCAAUUUGGUGCUGCCAGAUUCUGGGUUGAUUAUGUCAAAAAUGAUGAAUAAAACUAUUAGUCUUGAGAUC